GAUGAACGCUAGCUACAGGCUUAACACAUGCAAGUCGAGGGGAAACGGCAUCGAAAGCUUGCUUUUGAUGGGCGUCGACCGGCGCACGGGUGAGUAACGCGGAUCCAACCUGCCCAUCACUUGGGAAUAACCUUGCGAAAGUAAGACUAAUGCCCAAUGACAUCCCACGAAGGCAUCCGAAGGGGAUUAAAGAUUUAUCGGUGAUGGAUGGGGAUGCGUCUGAUUAGCUUGUUGGCGGGGUGACGGCCCACCAAGGCAACGAUCAGUAGGGGUUCUGAGAGGAAGGUCCCCCACAUUGGAACUGAGACACGGACCAAGCUCCUACGGGAGGCAGCAGUGAGGAAUAUUGGGCAAUGGGCGAGAGCCUGAACCAGCCAAGUAGCGUGCAGGAUGACGGCCCUAUGGGUUGUAAACUGCUUUUAUAAGGGAAUAAAGUGGGUACCGUGUGACUUUUUGCAUGUACCUUAUGAAUAAGGACCGGCUAAUUCCGUG
rnacentral:rRNA from 1 species